rnacentral:rRNA from 1 species
UUGCAUAUUCUCCCAAAGCGGAGGAAAAGAAACCAACAGGGAUUGCCUUAGUAGCGGCGAGUGAAGCGGCAAAAGCUCAAAUUUGAAAUCUGGCUCUUUCAGAGUCCGAGUUGUAAUUUGAAGAAGGUAUCUUUGGGUCUGGCUCUUGUCUAUGUUUCUUGGAACAGAACGUCACAGAGGGUGAGAAUCCCGUGCGAUGAGAUGAUCCAGGCCUAUGUAAAGUUCCUUCGAAGAGUCGAGUUGUUUGGGAAUGCAGCUCUAAGUGGGUGGUAAAUUCCAUCUAAAGCUAAAUAUUGGCGAGAGACCGAUAGCGAACAAGUACAGUGAUGGAAAGAUGAAAAGAACUUUGAAAAGAGAGUGAAAAAGUACGUGAAAUUGUUGAAAGGGAAGGGCUUGAGAUCAGACUUGGUAUUUUGUAUGUUACUUCUUCGGGGGUGGCCUCUACAGUUUAUCGGGCCAGCAUCAGUUUGGGCGGUAGGAGAAUUGCGUUGGAAUGUGGCACGGCCUCGGUUGUGUGUUAUAGCCUUCGUCGAUACUGCCAGCCUAGACUGAGGUAUCUGGCCU